rnacentral:rRNA from 1 species
AACGAACGCUGGCGGCGCGUCUUAAGCAUGCAAGUCGAACGGCAAGAUACUUUCGGGUAUCCUAGAGUGGCGGACUGGUGAGUAACGCGUGGAUGACGUACCCUCGUGACGGGGAUAGCCGGUAGAAAUACCGGGUAAUACCGGAUAAGGUCUCACGGAGUAAAGGCGUGAGAGGAAAGCAGCGUAUGCUGCGCAGGAGGAACGGUCUGCGGCCUAUCAGCUGGUUGGCAGGGUAAAGGCCUACCAAGGCGACGACGGGUAUCCGGCCUGAGAGGGUGAACGGACACAUUGGGACUGAGAUACGGCCCAGACUCCUACGGGAGGCAGCAGCUAAGAAUAUUCCGCAAUGGGGGGAACCCUGACGGAGCGACGCCGCGUGGACGAUGAAGGUCGGAAGAUUGUAAAGUCCUUUUAUACAUGAAGAAGAAGUUAUACAGGAAAUGGUAUAAUGGUGACGGUAGUGUAU